AAUAAAGUAAAUUGUUCAAAACAAAAACUGAUUAAAAAUGAUGGGUUUCCUCCCACACAGCGCUUCUUUCCCAUCAUUAGCUUGACCUUUUAAUUUUUGUGUUAGGGUGGCAUAUAUGACAGGAAAAACACAUCAUCCUUCUUCUUCCUUUUGUUUGAUAGGAAUUCCAUCACUUUCAGGAAUUGAAGGUUUUUCUUCCAUAUUCUCUUUAGCCUGAUAGUAUCUAACAAGAGAUAAAUCUCAUUCAAUACUUCAUCUAUUUCUCCUUUUUUAUCAUCCUUGUUGUUAGGUGUAUGACUAUUAAUUUGUUGAAGAUCUUGUAGUAGGAUAUCUAAGUCUGAAUGAAUGGUUGAAAUUAAAGCUUCAUCCAACAUGAUAUAAUCUUCAUCUUGCAUUCUGGCUCUUUUCCCGCAUAUCGUUUUCACCUCUAUUGCUUCUAUUCUUGCUUUUAUUUCUUUAUCAGGUGUUGUUCAUUUUUCUUCUUCUUUUUUCUUUUCCUGCUCCUCUUUCAUCGAAUAUCUCACACUCAUGUUUGACUUCUCUUUCAAUUUCCUUAUCUCUAGGACUAUCGAACAUAUUUUCAUAGAUAUACCCACUAGAUCUCAGCUUUAAUGUUAAUCGGCUAGAUACUUGACCAAGUUGCAUCUCUAAAUUCUUGAAGGAUGUUUCCAUGUUACUUCGCACGGUUUCUUGUUGCCUUUUGAUUUCUCAAAAUUGAGUUGAGUCAUCUUUAUAAACUGAGUCAGGG
rnacentral:lncRNA from 1 species